rnacentral:lncRNA from 1 species
AUGACACAAUUACUAUUCAGUGAAGUAAGAAAAUAUUACUAUGUACUAUAAAUAGGAAAUUCCUACAUAAUAUUAUAUGUUAAUCAUCUAUAACUUGGGAACUGUAACUUAAUUUCUUUCAGAAAGCACUCACAUGCAGGGGCGAAGCUAGAGUGCUGGGAGCAGGUUCGACUGAAUCUAAUAGCUUAAUUCGAACCUUGUAUUUAUUUUAAAAAUUCAUUAAAAAUAUUUAAAUUAUUAAUUUAGAACCAAACAACUUAAAACGAUUAAAAUCUUUGAACUCACUCCACCUCUCUGCACGCAUGAUAGUAAAUAUACGCCCAUAAUUAGGGAAUAUGACAUUGAGGGUUUGAGAUAGCUGUGCCAUUAUGAUGGUUGACUCUUGAUAACAUUCACCACUACUAGACAGCCCGGUGUACUAAGCUUCGGUUAGGAUUCAAGAAAAGGUCGAAUCACAAGGGUCUACUGUAUGCAAUAUUAUUUUGUAUUUAUGCAAGAUGCUAUUUUUACGAAUCGAAACUCAUGAUUUCCUGAUCACGCAGCGGCAACUUUACCGUAUGACAGCAACAUUCACCACUACUGGCUAAUUGUAAAAAGAAGUGGUCUAUAAAUAAAGCAAGCCUGAAGAAAUUUGAUCAUCCAAUAGUAAUUAGAGUUUCUUAGCUGGAUGGAAUUGGUUGGUAGCGGGACCUGAGAGGGCGGCAACAAGAAUGGACACUGC